rnacentral:rRNA from 1 species
UACGUAGGGGGCUAGUGUUGUCCGGAAUCAUUGGGCGUAAAGCGCGUGUAGGCGGUCCGGUAAGUCCGCUGUGAAAGUCGGGGGCUCAACCCUCGAAUGCCGGUGGAUACUGUCGGGCUAGAGUGCGGAAGAGGCGAGUGGAAUUCCUGGUGUAGCGGUGAAAUGCGCAGAUAUCAGGAGGAACACCAAUUGCGAAGGCAGCUCGCUGGGACGUUACUGACGCUGAGGCACGAAGGUCAGGGGAGCAAACGGG